ensembl:lncRNA
UAUAAAUGCACCGGCUCUAUCUGCAAACAUACAGAGACAGCAAUUUCUUUCAGUUAGCAGUCGAUCAAGUGGCCCAACGUGAAAGUACUGAUAUGAAGCUCACGUUGCUUGUCCGGGAGACAGGGGGAAAGAGGCAACAGGUGAGCUUAAAUAUGGUGCAUGCAUAGCAGCAUGUAAUGUGGAAAACAAAAAUGAACACAAAAAUGCAAGAUUAACACAAAAUGAAAGUGUGCUUUUAAGAAAUAACUACAAAGAGCUUCAUAUAAAAGAGAGCAGUCUCUCUCAGGCUCCUUCAGUGUUCAUUUCGCUCUUGUGAAGGGAUGCUGGAGAACCUAGACCAGUUUGUCUGUUCACUUGUCUGUUCAUCUGGCAUUCAAUGAGAUAAAGAUUUAUGGUCCCAGUGACUGAAAAACAAUAGUCCCUAAAGUAAAACCAAAGGCACAUUUUGAAGGUUGUCAUGGUCCUGGGCCAUGUGGGCCCAGCAUUCUUAGUUUUCAUGUAUUUUUGUAUUUUGUUCUUUAUUUAGGCCAUGCUUCCUGGGUUGAUCUGUUACGUUGUUCCUUAUGUGUUUUCCCUUCGUGACUCUUACCCCCUGUGUGCCCCUCUGUGUAUUUAUGAGCCCUCGUCUCCCUUUGUGGUUGUUUCAUGUUUCCCCAGCCCGUUAUGUCUGUGUUUUUCCCCGUGCUCUCUCUCCUCCUGUCUGAACCUCUGUGCCUGUACAUGUCAUGUUCAGUUCACCCAGCCCUGUCUCGUUAUGAUUAUCAGUGUCACCUGUGUUCCCCGUGUGUGCCCACUUUCCUCGUUUACCCUCUGUGUAUUUCUGUCUGAGUCUCCCUCUGUUCGGUGUCGUGUUCUCCCUCAUGCUGUGUGUGAUUCCCCUGUGUUCCUUGGUGAGCUUUAUGUUAGUUUUUCCCAGUUUAGUUUUGUAUUGUUUCUCGUGGCCAGCAAUAAAGCUGUGUUUUUGAGUUCACCCCCGUGUCGUACUACGGUGUACAUUUUAGGACAUCGUCAGGUAUCAGACAAAAAAUUGUCAGGUGUCAGUUGUCAAAAAAAAAAGUUGUCAGGUAUCAGAAAAAAAAUUGUCAGGUGUCAGAAAAAAAAUUGUCAGGUGUCAGUUGUCAAAAAAAAAAAAAGUCAGGUAUCAGAAAAAAAAUUGUCAGGUGUCAGAAAAAAAGUUGUCAGGUGUCAGAAAAAAAGUUGUCAGGUGUCAGAAAAAAAAUUGUCAGGUGUCAGUUGUCCAAAAAAAAAAAAGUCAGGUGUCAGAAAAAAAAUUGUCAGGUGUCAGAAAAAAAGUUGUCAGGUGUCAGAAAAAAAGUUGUCAGGUGUCAGACAAAAAAUUGUCAGGUGUCAGUUGUCAAAAAAAAAAAAGUCAGGUAUCAGAAAAGAAAUUGUCAGGUGUCAGAAAAAAAGUUGUCAGGUGUCAGAAAAAAAGUUGUCAGGUGUCAGACAAAAAAGUUGUCAGGUGUCAGAAAAAAAAUUGUCAGGUAUCAGAACACAAGGUACCAGAGAGAAAAUCUUCCUGCAGGUGGCGCUGUUGUCAUGUCCCACCCGAAUUGAUUUCCAAAUACGUCAUCAACGUGUGACCGUGGGAGAGCGUAAGGUCAUUGACCUCACCGGAGUUUUACCGUGGUUCAGGCUCCUAACGACACAAGGUAAGUUUAACUUUUUCUCCCUUUUGUUCAUAUUUUUGCCACAGUUGUGUUAUAUUAAGUUGCAGUUAUGUUGUGAAAGUUACAUAUCAGAGACGGAAAGCCAGUUUUGUACGAAACCAAAUCAGUACUAUUUUUGUCUGGCUAAUUCAUUCUAGCUAGCGACAGUGGUGAAACGUGAUUCAAAUUUAAACUGUUCAGUAAUUGUUUUGUAUACAUUUCAGCAAAUGGACAAGCUGAAAGCUUACGAGCAGCCUGCAUCCUUUCUGUCGCUCUUUUUCUUUAUUUCUCUUUUCUAUAUUGCUACUGUCGGGAUAUUUUUUGAUCCCGAUUUUUUUUUCUGUUAUUGUUUUUAGACUUUGCUGCAAUAUGUCAUCUGACGAUGAUGAAAGGAGUAUCCGACUCUGGCUGGUUCCCAUGACUGUACCAAAAAUACUUUUUUUUUUAUUAAAAAAAGAGCAUUAAAAAUAAAUGACUAAAGUACAACUUAUUUAUUAACUACUGUUCACCUAUUUAAUAUCAAAGAAGUGUAUUUUUUGCUACACGUUUUAUUUGUGGGCACUGAAUUGACGAUGCUUUUAGUGUAAUUGCCACAUAAAAAGAUUUAGUACUUUACUGGUUAAUUACUUAUGUUCAGUGUAAGAGGUGGGUGAUCAAUUAGACUGUUGUUGUUACACUUAACCUUUCAAGAUAUGAUGAUAAUAACAUUGUUCAACAAAGGCUUAAAACAAAAGGAAAUCAGCUGUGCACUGAAUUCAUAUGGGCAUAAAAUAAGUGAGAGGCAUCUGAGACGAGUUUUAAAACUUCUAGGGUUGAAGCGAAGAUGCCCCCAACGACCUUUUACUGAAAUCCAC